rnacentral:misc_RNA from 1 species
AGCAGCCGCGGUAAUUCAAGCUCCAAUAGCGUAUAUUAAAGUUGUUGCAGUUAAAAAGCUCGUAGUUGAAUUUCGGGGUUAGUAGGUUGGUCAUGCCUCUGGUAUGUACUGGUCUCACUGAUUCCUCCUUCCUGAUGAGCCGUAAUGCCAUUAAUUUGGUGUUGCGGGGAAUUUGGACUGUUACUUUGAAAAAUUAGAGUGUUUAAAGCAAGCUAACGCUUGAAUACAUUAGCAUGGAAUAAUGAAAUAGGACGUUCGAUCCUAUUUUGUUGGUUUCUAGGAUUGACGUAAUGAUUAAUAGGGAUAGUUGGGGGCAUUAGUAUUCAAUUGUCAGAGGUGAAAUUCUUGGAUUUUAUUGAAGACUAACUACUGCGAAAGCAUUUGCCAAGGAUGUUUUCAUUAAUCAAGAACGAAAGUUAGGGGAUCGAAGACGAUCAGAUACCGUCGUAGUCUUAACCAUAAACUAUGCCGACUAGGGAUCGGAUGAUGUUAAUUUUUAAUGACUCAUUCGGCGCCUUAA